ACGUAGGAACCGAGCGUUAUCCGGAUUCACUGGGCGUAAAGCGCGCGUAGGCGGUUCUGUAAGUCAGAUGUGAAAUCCCUGGGCUUAACUCGGAGGCUGCAUUUGAAACUGUUGAGCUUGAGUGCAGGAGAGGAAAGCGGAAUUCCUAGUGUAGCGGUGAAAUGCGUAGAGAUUAGGAGGAACAACAGUGGCGAAGGCGGCGUUCUGGACUGUUACUGACACUGAGGCACGAAAGCGUGGGUAGCGAACAG
rnacentral:rRNA from 1 species